GAUGAACGCUGGCGGCGUGCCUAAUACAUGCAAGUCGAGCGAACAGACGAGGAGCUUGCUCCUCUGACGUUAGCGGCGGACGGGUGAGUAACACGUGGAUAACCUACCUAUAAGACUGGGAUAACUUCGGGAAACCGGAGCUAAUACCGGAUAAUAUAUUGAACCGCAUGGUUCAAUAGUGAAAGACGGUUUUGCUGUCACUUAUAGAUGGAUCCGCGCCGCAUUAGCUAGUUGGUAAGGUAACGGCUUACCAAGGCAACGAUGCGUAGCCGACCUGAGAGGGUGAUCGGCCACACUGGAACUGAGACACGGUCCAGACUCCUACGGGAGGCAGCAGUAGGGAAUCUUCCGCAAUGGGCGAAAGCCUGACGGAGCAACGCCGCGUGAAUGAUGAAGGUCUUCGGAUCGUAAAACUCUGUUAUUAGGGAAGAACAAAUGUGUAAGUAACUAUGCACGUCUUGACGGUACCUAAUCAGAAAGCCACGGCUAACUACG
rnacentral:rRNA from 1 species